CUCAGCUCCCUAGUGUCGUGUUUUCCCUCUGUGCUGGUUAGGAGAGUUUCUCCCUGUUUAGGGGAACUACAUCGCCCUGAUCCUCGUGCCAGACGAGGUAUGUAGGCAGGUGGUCGUGCGAGACCACUCCGGGCAACCUUUUUCUUUUUUGCGUGUGUUUACUUGUUAUCUGAUGGUGUUUUGGUUCGGAUGCCGACGUAAGCCCAGUGAUUGGCUGUCGGGCUCCACGUUUGCCCUUCUGAGUGAGUUUUGGUUUCGGCAUGCGCGUAAUUCCAUCCAGUGGUUGUCGGGCUCCGUGUUUGCCACCCUUGCUUGUUUGUAUGUUUUGUGUUGUUUGGCGUGCGUAAGCCGAACUACAGUGGAACUCUCAUCCUCUUUGGACCUUUCUGGCUAUUACAACUAUGGUUAAACGCUACCUUCGAGGCAAGCCUUCCAAGUAAAGGCCUCGUCGAUGAAGACUCUGAAGAAGUGAAGAGUAGUAGGGUCGAAGGAGUUCAUUUGGAUCAAUUAGCACUAAAUGAUGAAGGAAAAGCCAUUCAACCUACAUUCCUCGGCUAUAUCAUGAUGUUUUCAAGACGCCAUGAGUUCACAUCAAACAUGCCCCCCUUUGCAGCCAGGGAGUAUGGUCCAACAUGGUUUAGAAGACCUUUUCCAGCUCCUGCCAAGAAACAAGAAACAAAAUAUCUUCUACUUUUGGAAGCCUUUCUAACCCCAAAACUCAUUAUCCUCAGGUUACACCAGUCUAAGAUCCAGGCUACCUUAAUUUCUUAUCAACCCAACCUGGUGGCUCGAUAGUUUGGAUUAGUUUAGGCUCUCCUAAAGUGUCUUUAUAACAAGAAUAGAAAUCUCCUUCUGUACAAUGCAAUUCACAACCAAACCACUGCUGUCAAACAGAUAGCUCGAUAUACUGAUCGAACGCACAUCGCUCCAGUUAAAUUCGAGCCAUGCUUUCUCUGCACUCCAGAGUUUUAGAAGUGGUGGCCGAAAUACUACGCUGAAUAACUUUAUGAUGUUUUUGUAUUUUCUCAGCAUAUUACUAAAGCUUUCCUCUCUGUGUAGGAAAAAAAUCAAGAAAGGUCUUUACACGCACAUCAAAGAGAUUCAGGCUUUCCAAAAUUACUUUGAAACUGCCUAUAGGCUCAAUGAUCUUAGUCAAACCAUUCGCGAGGCAGCUGUCACACUAAAAGGAAAUUUUUUCAAAGAAAAUGGAAAAUAUAAAAAUCCCUUCGUACGUUCCUCCUGAGAAACGCUACGAAAUGGAUUUCAAAAUGCAUCCUUUUCAGUUUCCUCGACUGCCAACCGCUGAUUUUAGAGUGGCCCUUGCCCCUCCAUUCCUAGAUUGGUUCAUCUAUGGGGAUUCUAUAAAAAUCCUUCAACAACAAUCACAGAAAAAGGCCCAGCGGGUGGUUGCGACUAAGCAUACUUUAGACAGUUUCAAAGGGCGUCUACAUAUAGGAAUCAAAGAUGUUCGCAUCGAAUAAGAUAUAUAUGAAGGUGUGGAGUGGAAGACCUUUAGAAUCACAUAUCUUAUUAGGAUAUUCACUCUUUACUUGUAGUAACUACUUCAAUUUUAUUUCUUUUAGCUGUCAGAGUUCCACCUAGGAAACCAACAACCAAGAGGUUGGUCGAAGAAAAAGAUGAGGGUGGCAGCAAGACCAUUAAGGUACAUCUUUUACUCUUCCAGUUGCUCUGUUAUAUAUAUAAUGAUAUCUCUAACACUUCAAUUUUUUGAUUCAGGGUGUUCGAAAACCUCCCCCCACUCCCUUAAAAAUCAAAACGGAAGCUGUUGGAGCUUUUGUGGUGAUAGAAUCAGACAAAGAGAGUCUUUCUCCCAUCUUAGAUUUGUCUCACAAAAAAAGAAAAAGUCUAACAAAGGCCACUGAAGCCUCGAGCUAGCCUCAGGCUAAGCCUGCUAGAGUUAUAAAAAAACCCGUUGUUCUCACCAUUCGAGACCCUAACCUGAAGAUAUGUCGAAAAUAGCAACGACACUAGGCAAAAGUGACAAUUCUAGUCCUGGAGUCAAAUGCAAUAAGGUAAAAAUAAAUACAUCACUUUGUUGUUAGCUGUUCUUUUCUUUUCUUUGAUUAAUUUAUCUCUUAAUCUUUGGCUUUCAGGAUGGCACAGACGUUGCCACCCUAAUAGCAGGAAAAUCUUCCUCUAUACCAUAUGUCCUCAACAGUGCCGACGAACCCACAUAUCGACCAUCAUCAGAGAAAAGCUCAAUGAGCGCAAUCAACCAACCCAUUGCUGGAGGGCUUGAAAAUUCGCUACAAAAAAGUGGUUCUGGUCAUGAAGAUAACUUAGGUCAAGAAACCCAAGUCCAGGAGGACAGAGAGGCCAUGGUCGUGGACGAAGAAGUCCAAGCUGGCAAUGUUUUUGAAGGUAAUUCACUUGAUGUCGAAGGUGCGGAUGAUGACCCUCAAGGAGGAAAUGACGGCCAAGCUGAGGAGGUAAGAGAGGAAGAAGAAGAAGAAGUCAAAGAACUGCAGGUAUUCGACGAUAUUCCUGAUGAUGAUGAGGAGCUUGAGGAUCAAGAUGGAAAUGGUGAGGGGGACCAAAAUGAAGGACAACCCCAAGGUCAAACUCUCGUAACCCUCACGAUUGAAGUUAUUCCUGAGGGUAUCAGAGCUUCGACAAGAACAACUAGGGGUCCCUCCUUAGAGGAAUUAGCAACUCUAAAACAAAGCCAACCCCUUGAAUAUUUGAAGGCUAUGCUGAGUCGAAGAGAUAACUCAUCUGAAAGAAGUGUUAGCACUUCAACAGCCUUUGAGGAUGAAUCUUCGACCAGGCCCGUGAAUGAGGCACUCUUAAAAAUUAAAGAGAAAAUAUUUAAGGGUGACUUAUUCUUACUUUUGUUGGCUGAUCCUUCUGCCCCUUUAUCUUUGAAAGCUCUCCUAAGCCAAGUUAACCUGUUAGAUGUUUCUCCUGAAGUUGGCAACACCAUCUUGGAGUUGGGCACCAUGAUAGAACAGGUUGUCAAAGAUAAUAAAUUGCUUCCCUAACUUACUAGAGAAAUCGAGCAGAAAGCAGGUUUUGAGGUUGUUGCUAGUGAAUCGACCAAUAAGGCAUUGGAGUUGGAGGAGACGAAGAAGAAAAACCAGGCAGAGAUCGAAAACCAUGACCGUGACAUUGCCUAUUGGGAAGCGCAAAUAAGGGAACUUCAGGCCAAGAUCAUUGAAGCAAAAAGUUGCAAAGAUGAACUCUUAAAGUUCGAUUAUGCUUCCAUGGCUAAGGAACUAGACUUUCGCCUAGAGUUUAUCGAAAAAGCGCACGAAGCAGAAGCAGAGCUCACGAUUCUCCAGUCGAAACAAUCUCUAUGUGAGAAAUGUAUGGAGCUUCAUAAGACGAAAUACCUCCACAUGAAGAAUCAUCUCCCAUUUUAACCUUGGUCUCCUUAUCAUCAUUUAUUUUUAAUGACUUUUAGUUUUACUUGUAUUGAUUAUUAGCCCUUUGGGCCCUUGUAACGAGUUUCAGCCAUAUUGGCAAUAUUUACAUUACCAUGUUGGCUUCAACUUACUUUAAUAUAAUUACUCGUUUAUUAUUCUUAUUUCUUAAAGCGUUGGCUUAUAUUUUUUCAAAUAUUUUCCGUUUACUCUUAAGAUUCUUUUGUUUUCACUAAGUUCUUCGAUCUCAUAAGCACCGUUAGAGAAAACUUGCAAAAUUUGAAAAGGGCCUUCCCAGUUGGGAGACCAUUUCCCUAGGGCUCUAUCCUUUCGAUCCAUUGGAAGGAUAACUUUCCAAACCAAAUCUUCAGGCAAAAAUGUCUUAACUUUAACCUUCUUAUUAUAAGAGCUCUUUACUCUCUUCUUCCGCCUUUUCAAUAAUUCCAAGGCAUUUAGUCACUCUUCAUCUAGAUCGACUAACUCAUCUAACAUCAUGUUCCAAUAUGAUUCUGAUGGAAUCUCAUGAUGCAUCUGAAUCCUUGUUGAUUGUAGGUAAAUUUCUACUGGUAAAACUGCAUCAUGACCAAAGGUCAGCCGAAAUGGGGUCAAAUUAGUGGCUUCCUUGGGAGAGGUCCGACACGCCCACAAAAUCUGAUCCAAAAUUUUGUGCCAAUUUCUAGGUUUCUUCCCUACAUGUUUCUUGAUCAAACCAACUACCACUUUGUUUGUUGCUUCGACCUGACCAUUAGCAUGAGCGUAAUAUGGCGUAGACGUUAACAAUUUGAAACCCGUUUCCUUAGCAAAUUCUUGCAUUUUUCGACCAGUAAAUACUGAUCCUUGAUCCGUUGUAACGAUCUCUAGAAUCCCAAAUCUGUAGAUGAUGUGUUUCUGGAUAAAUUCAAUCAUAUCUUCUUGGCCUACAUUUGGUAAAGGUAUAACUUCGAUCCAUUUUGUAAAAUAAUCAAUGGCAACCAAGAUAUACCUUUUGAUUUUUAGAUGAUGGUGGUCGAAUUUCCCCAAUCAAAUCUAAAGCUCAACCUCUAAAAGGCCAAUGUUUAACUAUAGAGUACAGUUCACUCGUAGGGACAUGUUGUAUGCCUGCAUGUACCUGACACUCUUGGCAUCCUUUAGCGAAUUCGAUGCAGUCUUUUAACAUGGUAUGCCAAUACAUCCCUUGGAGAAAUAAUAACCAUUUCAUCUUAUGGUCAACUUGGUACGCCCCACUAUGGACAGUCGAAAGGGCUAAAUAUUCCUCUGACUCACUAUGACAUUUAAGCAAAACUCCCUCAGGAGUCUUUUUGAACAAUUUCAUCCCCAAAAGAAAAUAACUUAAAGCUUGAUACCUGGUUUUUCUAGCGGCAAACGCCAUUGGAUUUUGUAAGUACUCCACUAUUGGUUUCCUCCAAUCUCCAUCUGUCAGGUUAUUUAUUGCCAAUAUUUUGAAGCUUUCUUUAUCAGCGUAUCCCAACUUUGUCUUUUCCAAGUCUGAUGGGGCUAAUCUGGUCGACACAACUCUUCCUCUGACUUCGAUGACUUUUUGCAAUUUUUCUUUUGAAAUUUUAAACCCAGAUGCAAUUUGAGCUAAGUCAUUAGCCACUUGAUUUUCCAAUCGAGGUAUGUGUCGAAUAUUAGCCAUCUCGAAUCUUUUCAGCAAUCGAAUGGCUAUUAUAAAGUACAUAAUGAGAUUCUUUUUAACACACAUGUACUCUUUUGUGAUAUGUUUUAUAACUAACUCUGAGUCCCCCAUUAUUUUGACUCGAGUUGCCCCCAAUUCCAACAAUAUCUCAAGCCCGGCUAUGAAAACUUCAUAUUCAACCUCAUUGUUCGAGCAGAGGCCCUCCACUUUGUACUUGAGUUUUACUGGAAUUUUAUUAGGAGAAAUAAUUAGAACUCCUAUACCUGUUCCAUCUUUAUGACUAGACCCGUUGAAGUACAACUUCCAGGGUUCUAAUUCACGGUAGUCCAGUGCAUUCUCGGUUAUGGAGUGGUCGACUAUAAAGUCUGCCACCACUUGUCCCUUCACAACUUUUAACGGCAUAUAUGUUAAAGAAUAUUCAGUUAAAGCUAGUACCCAUUUCGCAAUUUGACUGUGCGAAAUUGGCUUAGACAACAUAUGUUUAAUAACAUGAAAGUGAGACGAAACAUUAACAUUAACAUGUUUUGUAUAAUGCUUCAACUUCGUACAAGAAAAAUACAAGCAUAAACAUAAUUUUUCAACUAUGAUAUACCUAGUUUUUGCAUGAUUUAAGACCCUACUGAGGUAGUAAAUGGCUCUUUCCACGCCAUUAUCAUCCUUCUGAGCCAACAUGCUCCCUAAAGUCUUGUCAGAUGUAGAUAUGUACAAUCUCAUACUCUUAUUCCUACAAGUUGGUGUCAAAAUUGGUGGAUGACUUGGGUAUUCUUUGAUUUUGUCAAAAGCUUUUUGCUGAGCCUUCCCCCAUUCGAAUCCUUCCUUGCUAAGUCGAAGCAAAGGUGAGAAGGCUUACGUUUUUCUCCUAAGGUUCGAAAUCAAUCUUCUUAGGAAAUUGAUCUUGUCCAGUAGUGAUUGCAAUUCCUUCUUUGUUGAUGGAGCUUUCGCCUCCAUUAUGGCCUUGGUCUUAUUCUGGUUUAUUUCAAUUCCUUUUUUAUGGAUCACAAAGCCUAAGAAAUCUCAUGCCUGCACGCAAAAAGCACAUUUGAGAGGGUUCAUUUUCAGACCAUGUUUCAUCAUCCUUUCAAAAGAUAGUCGAAGAUUGCCUAUAUGUGUCUUUCCUGAAAUAGAUUUAACAACAAUAUCAUCGAUAUAAAUCUGCAUAAAAGUGUCAUACCCCAAAAUUUACCCAUCAUUUUUCCUGGAAAAAAAAAAAACGAAAAAAAAAAAAAACGAAAAAAAAAAAAAAAAAAAAAAACGAAAAAAAAAAAUUUAAUUAAUUAAUAAUUAUUAUUAAUUAAUAAUUAUUAAAUAAUCAAUAAAUAAUAAAUAAAAUUAACAAAUUAUUUUGGACUGGGUCUCCCUCAUUCCAAGCCCAUUACCCACAAAAUUAGUCUAUAAAUACUGAAGUUUCAGUAGAGGAAAAGGACUUGGAGUUAGACUUAGAGUUUACACUGGGAGAUUCACUGGAGAAAGAAGGAAGAGAAGCAAAACACUCUGAGGUUUCCUUGGAACAAAACCUUGAGGAAAAAGAAAGAGAGAGAACAGAGAAGGACGGAUAGAAACUUUGGCAUAGGAACCCUGCCAACCCGGAGAAUUCAGAAUAAGAAACCCUGAAGGCAGCUCAUCCGCCCGAAGCCAUCGCCGCCCAAUUCCGCCGCCUAACUCAUUCCGAUAUCACAAGUGGUCAAUCCCUUCAACCUUGAAUUGGCAAACAGGUUUGCGUAUCUCUAUUGUUUAUACUUUCAAUUGGCCAUAUUCUACACAUAUAAUGCAUCAUGAUUAAAUGUUGAUAUAUAAUUUGCUUUGUAUGUGAAUUUAAAUAUGCCUGAAUACCCUGAAUGUUUGACCAUGCUGUUCCUGUGAUAAAAUGCCAUAAAGUUCAAGGUUCNUACCAUCAGACAGAAAUCAGAACCCAGCCGAGAAAGGCGUCCUCAACAGAUAUCUGCCACAGUUAGAUGGGGAUUUAUUUUCCCCGUAGAGUCCCCAAGCAGAACUUCUCAUACGCAUAACUCAUCAUUGCAUCCAUUUCACAGCAACGCAUGCAUACAAAUCAGCAUUUAUUUUCGAAAGCAUAACAUCUCAUGGCAUCAUGAUGGCAUAAAGUAACUUUUUCUUUGCAGGUUAAUUAUUCUCCUGUAUAGUCCAAAGUAAAAGCUCAUUCUAGCCAGCGCCUUUAUUCAAUCACAGACAGAUUCCAGAUUACAUAAUUCCGAUGCAAUUCAUGGGAACAUUCAGUUCUGACAACACUUCGAUAUCCUCCUAGCGAGAUGGGCAUCUUUAGCCCAUCCCCAGACUUAUUGCAAGUACAAACGUAACAGUACGCCCUACAAUACGGUUCAUUCUGUUCAGCCUCCCAUAUGACUUCCUUCAACUCAGAUACGAUCUUUAGCAUACGAUCCAUUCUGACCUUCGACAACUCAGCUAGUCUAGCGUACGAUCCAUUCAUGACCUUCUUCAACUCAGAUACGAUCUAACAGACGAUCCAGCUGACCCUAACAACUCAGAUACGAUCUGCGUACGAUCCUUCCUGACCUUCUGUCAAUCAAGCUACAGUCAAUGCACGGACAAGUUAGACUUAUACUGACCAGAUGCUACCUUCGGAAGGUACAUUUCUGGAUGGUAGGUCCCAGUAUACGGCUACUCCCUUUCCCAGAUGCUACCUUCGCGACAGGUACAUUUCUGGAUGUUUCUAGUAUACGGUACUUCCCUUUCCGAUGCCUACCUUCGGACAGGUAGCAUUUCUGGAUGGUAGUCUGCAUACGCUACUCCCUUUCCCGAUUGGCUACUUCGGACCAGGUACAUUUCUGGAUGGUAGUCCAGUAUACGGCCCUACUCCCUUUCCAGAUGCUACCUUCGGACAGGUACAUUUCUGGAUGGUAGAUUAGUUCGCUACUCCUUUCCCGAUGCACCUUCGACAGGUAACAUUUCUGCGGGGGUGGCGGCGGACUGGCACGUCCAGAUACGGCUACUCCCUUUAUUCCCAGAUGCUACCCUUCGGGACAGACAUUUCUGGAUCGGUGGUAGUCCAGUUAUAGGCUACUUCCCUUUCUCAGAGCUACCUUCGGACAGUACAUUUCUGAUGGUAGUCUAGUAUGCGGCUUAGGCGCCCAUUUCCCGAUGCUACUUCGACGGUACAUUUCUGCGUGGUAGUCCAGUAUACGGCUACUCCCUUUCCAGAUGCUACUUCGGCAGGUUACAUUUCUUGGAUGGUAGUUAGUUAUACGGUACUCCUUUCCCAGUCUACCUUGCAGAAAGGUACCAUGUCUGUAUGGUAUCAGUAUACAGUACCUCCCAUUGCCUCAGAUUGCUCCUUCGGACAGGUAAAUUUCUGAAUGGAGUCUAGUUAUACGCGGCACACCCUUUCCCAGAUGUACCUUCGGACAGGUACAUUUUUUCUGAUGGUAGUCCAGUAUACGGCUACUCCUUUUCCCAGUGCUACCUUCGCGACAGGUACAUUUUACUGGAUGAGUGUGUGUCAUAGUAUGAACGGGCAUACUUCCCACUUUUCCAGAUGAUACCUUCGGACAGGUACAUUUCUGGAUGGUAGUUCCAGUAUACGGCUACUCCCUUUCCCAGUGCUACCUUCGGACAGGUACAUUUCUGGAUGGUAGUUUCCAGUAUACAGCUACUCCCUUACUCAGAUGGCACCUUCGGACAGGUACAUUUCUGAAUGGUAGUCUAGUCAUGCGACUACUCUUUCCCCAGAUGCUACCUUCGCGACAGUACAUUUCUGGAUGGUAGUCCAGUAUACGGCUCUCCCUUCCCAGAUGCCUACCUUCGGACAGGUACAUUUCUGGAUGGUAGUCUAGUAUACGGCUUACUUCCCUUUCCCAGGGACGCUACCUUUCGGACAUACGGUUACAUUUUGUGGAUGGGUAGUCUUCAGUUACGGUACGUCCCGGUUUCCCAGAUGCUCCUUCGGACAGGUACAUUUUCUGGAUGGUAGUCUAGUAUACGGGCUACUCCCUUUCCCAGACGCUACCUUUGGACAGGUACUUUCUGGGUUAGGGUAGUCCAGGUAUACGGCUACUCAUUUCUCAGAUGCUUACCUUCGGACAGGUAUUUCUGAAUUGUGUAGUCUAGUAUACGGCUAUCCUUUACUCAGUGCUACCUAGUGUACGGUACAUUUCUGGUGUAGUCUUGUGUACGACUACUCCCUUUUACCAUCCAGAUUCAGCCUACUGGACGGCUCAUUCUGCAACUCAGAUUCGAUUUAGGUGUACGAUCCAUUCUGAGCUCCAGAACUCCAAUGCGGUCUAACCGUCGACCCAUUCGGAAUCCUCAACUACUCAGAUGACCUACGUGUCGGUACACUUCUGAAGUGUGUCUAGUGCUACGACUACCCUUUCAUCAUCAGAUUCAGCCUAACGGCGCUCUCUCUUCACUCAGAUCGAUCUAGCGUAUGGUCAUUCUGAUCCUUUUGCCAACACAUAUGACACACUCCGACUCCCCAGCGAAGUCGGCAGUCCUAAUGGAUGAUCAUUUUAUUCGGUCUAUGUCGACCCAGUGUGGCAACCAUGUUCUUCGAAUUGGCCUAAUGUACGGCUCGAUCUGAAGCUUUCGUCAUCAACCUCCCGCGAUGGCCUCUUUAAGCCCCAUCUCCAUCACAGACCAACUGUCGCUCCUCAAGUGCAAUUUUUGGGGCAUUCUAUGUUAAUAAUCUUUCACUCAGACCACGAAUGGCAUACACGCUCCUAACUCUCUCGGUUCAAGGAAUAUUGAAACAGGGGCAGGCUUCAUACCCCAAAAUUUACCCAUCAUUUUUCCUGGAAAAAAAAAAACAAAAAAAAAAAAAAAAAAUUUAAUUAAUUAAUUAAUUAUAAUUAAUUAUUAAUUAUAAUAUAAAUAUAAAUAAUAUAAAUAUAACAAAUUAUUUUGACUUGGGUCUCCUCAUUCCAAGCCCAUUACCCACAAAUUAGUCUAUAAAUACUGAAGUUUCAGUAGAGGAAAAGGACUUGGAGUUAGACUUAGAGUUUACACUGGGAGAUUCACUGGAGAAAGAAGGAAGAGAAGCAAAACACUCUGAGGUUUCCUUGGAACAAAACCUUGAGGAAAAAGAAAAGAGAGAGACAGAGAAGGACGGAUAGAAACUUUGGCAUAGGAACCCUGCCAACCCGGAGAAUUCAGAAUAAGAAACCCUGAAGGCAGCUCAUCCGCCCGAAGCCAUCGCGCCCAAUUCCCGCCGCCUAACUCAUUCCGAUACACAAGUGGUCAAUCCCUUCAACCUUGAAUUGGCAAACAGGUUUGCGUAUCUCUAUUGUUUAUACUUUCAAUUGGCCAUAUCUACACAUAUAAUGCAUCAUGAUUAAAUGUUGAUAUAUAAUUUGCUUUCGUAUGUGAAUUUAAAUAUGCCUGAAUACCCUGAAUGUUUGACCAUGCUGUUCCUGUGAUAAAAUGCCAUAAAGUUCAAGGUUCUAACAUGGGGCUGUUUUUCUCAAAAUUCAAAAUCCGUGGUUCGCCUGGCCUUCGCUAGGCGAGGCAGAGGCGAACGAGACAGUACCUGAUUUUUCUGUCUGUUUUUUUUUAUGUUUUUAUCAUAGCAUGCAUUAUUCAUCCUAUCUAUUUACUGUUGCGAUAUUUUUCCGGUGUAAUCUUCGAUUGCACCCUGAUUUGGUAUUCUGACAUGUUUUUUUUGAGCUUCGAAAAGGUUCACAUAUCCCAGGAAAGGUUAUUGGCUAGGUAUUCCACUUUAUUUGUGGGAUACCCUUGUGGAGUUUUCCACCUAAAUUACCUAAUUAAUUUUGAUGUAUUAAUUUUAAUGUAUUAAUUUUAUGUUUAAUUUUUAAUGUAUUAUUUUAAUGUGGGAGAUUCCUCCUAAUCACCUAUUAAUUGUAAAACUUUGCCUUUGAAUAGUGAUCUUGGACCUCUCUUUGUUGCCUUACGAUUACGAUAUUACGGUCAUGUCCGCGAAUGUGGGAUACCCUUAGCAAAGACCCUUCGGUUAAAUCAUCAUAAAAUAAUUAUAGUCCCUCGGAUGUUGCCUUCGAAUGUACAACUUUGUCCCUCGAUGACCCUCCGAUGUUGCCUACGAUUAAAUGAUGAUAGUCCCUUCGAAUGCUAAGGUAUCCUCAUAACUGUUGCCUCAAUGACCAAUCGAUGACCCUCGAUGACCCUUUUACAUCCAAAGGAUAAAACUACUUAUUUCUAUAAUAAGGACAGUUUUACCCUCAUAGAUAGGAAAUGCCGUAAAGACCUUGGGUCGGUAUAACUCUAUUGCUGUGUCACACUUAACACUUUUUCGCACCUCACACCUUUCAAAAUACCUUAGAAAUCACCACUUGGUAUACAUUAUACUUGAAUCAUUACCGAGUUAUAUUUUCUAAACAUUUUCAAAACUAAACGAGAUAACCACUUUGUAUACAUUCAUACAAGAAUCUUACAAAGUUAAAUUCUCUUUCAAAACAAUUUUCCAAACAAUUCAACACACUUUUUUUAGACAAUAAUAUAAGUGAUCGAGCAAUUUAGAGGCCCAUGGUAACCAUGGAUCAAAGGGUGCUAACACUUCCCUUUGCUUAAUGUACUCCGACCCAAUCUAAUUAGUAAUUAAGGUCUUUCCUGUUCUUUUCCACCUUUCCUUAUUGGAUAAAAGAAAAGUCGGUGGCGACUCUUGCUAACCGCGACAUUGCGAUUAAAACCACAAAAAGUCCAGUUCACCGUAUGACAAAAAGUUUAUAUGAAAUCAUGGAAGAUCGAAUUCAUUGCUCUUUGGUAUGUUACCCCCAACAUUCUUUAAACCAAAAGGCAUCACCACUCAUUCAUAGGUGCCUAAGGCUCUAGAACAUCGAAAUGAUAUUUUUGGAAUAUCCUCUUCAGCAAUGAAUAAUUGGUUAUACCUAGAAUACCCAUCGAGAAUGCUAAGAUACUCAUGGCCCGCGGAAGAAUCAACUAGCAUUUCUGCCACGGGCAUUGAAUAUUCAUCUUUUGGGGUUGUAGUGCUUAAGUCUCUAAAAUAUAUGCACACCCUUAAAGUACCAUUUUUCUUAAUGACGGGUACAAUAUUGGCUAGCCAUUUGACAUACCUGGUUGUACGAAUGAAAUUACAACGAAGAAGCCUUUCGACCUCCUCUUUGAUCUUUGAGGGAAUUGUAGGUGCAAAUCGCCUUGGAUUAUGCUUGAUGGCUGAUCCGCUGUCGCGCGCGGAUCAAAAACGAGUAUUUUUGACAAAACGUAGUUAGCGACAAAUUGACUCGGAUUAUCGUUCUCACAAGCUAAGAACUUACUUAAUUGGUUACUAUCAUUGCUAAUUUGGGGUUUUGGUUGGUUUAGGAUUCAAUUAAAAAAAUAGAUUAAAAUAAGUGAUUAUUGAAAUAAGUUGUAGCAACAAUUUACUGAUUCAGUCUUUGCCUAUCAUCGACUAUCGUAAUUCCAACCGCAGAUUAACUAUUCUUAUUCGAUUAUAAUAUCAACUGACAAGCGCAAUUGAUAAUAUAAGUUGUAUGUUCCUAUUAUCCGAAUUAAGCAAACGGGAUUAAGUUUCAUGAAUUAAGCAAACAUGAAUUAAGCAAACAUGAAUUAAGCAAACAUGAAUUAAGCAAACAUGAAUUAAACGGAUUCGAUAACGAAUUAAGCAAACGAAAUCGUGACUAUAGUUAGGAUCACACAAUCAAUCAGAUUAAAUCAAUAUAACAUAUGUAAAUCGGAUUAAGCAAACAAAAUACAUAUAUUAAUAUUGAAAGGAAUAAAAAACCUGAACAAGAAUUACUAAAAUCUCAAGGUAUCGGAACCCGAAUACAGCAAAUUGUUUGGAUCGAUUAGUUCUUCAUGAGAAUUCUUCCAAAGCUUUCCAGUCUUUCGUGAAUAGUGAUCAUCCUCAUGUUAUGCGGCUGCUAGGUAUAUGGAAAACAAAGAAUUUGGUUUACAAACCAACUGGAUCGAAAACAUAACCCAAACCCAAAACUAAUGACCCAAAACUUAAAUAAAACUAAUGCUACAACUUCAACGACUUUUCUGAUUCUUCUACAGUCUUAUUCAGCUCUCGACUUCUGAACAAAAGUUGUAGAUCUUUUUCUUAGCUUUCCAUUAACUGGUAGCACGUCUCAAUAUGAUACUCCUAGCUCAAGAUAUGAUUUUUCUCACGAAAGUUGCUAAUGCUGAAAAUUAAAUACGAAAAUUAAAUAAGUGCAAAAAUAACAUAAAUUAUGAAAACACAUUAAAACAUAAAAAUAAUCAAAGCAAACCGAAGAAAUGCUUAAGUACAAACAUGGAAGAACGUGCAUCAAAAUGCACUGAUCAAAUUCCCCCACACUUGAACUUUUGCACUCCGAGCAAAAUGAAAAACAAAACAAAACACAGACACAUCAACGGUUACUCAUUCUAGGCUACAAGUCUUCUUCGGUUAAGUUUGCAUCGAUAGGUACUAAUCUUGCACACUAAGGAUAUCGUAUGAACACUAAUCCACAAUUGUGCAGUCAUAAACCUCCUGAAUACACAAAUCAACUCGAAUCAUGUUAUUAUGUUAAAGUCUAACUUACUCAUCCUUCUUUGACUCUUUUUCAUUCAGGCGCAAUCACAUUAAGCCCGUUAUCUCCACACUUCAUAGCAAGGCGACCGGUUAGUGACUCAGAUCCUUUUCUGCACGGGGUUCUGGUACUUAAGUGGCAUAAUCCUUUGCUUACUCAAUUGUAAUUGUGGGGGAUCGGACCAUAAUCCGCCCUACCAAGUUCAGCACCAGAAACCGCUGAACCAACUACAAAAGAGUCUUAUUUCCAACUUUUUUGAAGGUUUUACAUCCGUUGGGUUAAGUGACUGGGUGAGGGUCACCAAACUUAGAAGGUGCAUUCCCUUUUCUUUUUUUUUUCGGAACACUCACUUAUAUUCACCGGCUUCCCUGCGUAGAGUGUGUGUGAGAUGGUGCUGACUGCUGAAAUAAACUACUCAAGAGCUGUCAGAGAAUGAGAAUUUAAGGCUAAAACAUAAUAAGAAUUCGAAUCAAUUUCCAUAUGCAGGAGACUUACGGUGUUAANNNNNNNNNNNNNNNNNNNNNNNNNNNNNNNNNNNNNNNNNNNNNNNNNNNNNNNNNNNNNNNNNNNNNNNNNNNNNNNNNNNNNNNNNNNNNNNNNNNNNNNNNNNNNNNNNNNNNNNNNNNNNNNNNNNNNNNNNNNNNNNNNNNNNNNNNNNNNNNNNNNNNNNNNNNNNNNNNNNNNNNNNNNNNNNNNNNNNNNNNNNNNNNNNNNNNNNNNNNNNNNNNNNNNNNNNNNNNNNNNNNNNNNNNNNNNNNNNNNNNNNNNNNNNNNNNNNNNNNNNNNNNNNNNNNNNNNNNNNNNNNNNNNNNNNNNNNNNNNNNNNNNNNNNNNNNNNNNNNNNNNNNNNNNNNNNNNNNNNNNNNNNNNNNNNNNNNNNNNNNNNNNNNNNNNNNNNNNNNNNNNNNNNNNNNNNNNNNNNNNNNNNNNNNNNNNNNNNNNNNNNNNNNNNNNNNNNNNNNNNNNNNNNNNNNNNNNNNNNNNNNNNNNNNNNNNNNNNNNNNNNNNNNNNNNNNNNNNNNNNNNNNNNNNNNNNNNNNNNNNNNNNNNNNNNNNNNNNNNNNNNNNNNNNNNNNNNNNNNNNNNNNNNNNNNNNNNNNNNNNNNNNNNNNNNNNNNNNNNNNNNNNNNNNNNNNNNNNNNNNNNNNNNNNNNNNNNNNNNNNNNNNNNNNNNNNNNNNNNNNNNNNNNNNNNNNNNNNNNNNNNNNNNNNNNNNNNNNNNNNNNNNNNNNNNNNNNNNNNNNNNNNNNNNNNNNNNNNNNNNNNNNNNNNNNNNNNNNNNNNNNNNNNNNNNNNNNNNNNNNNNNNNNNNNNNNNNNNNNNNNNNNNNNNNNNNNNNNNNNNNNNNNNNNNNNNNNNNNNNNNNNNNNNNNNNNNNNNNNNNNNNNNNNNNNNNNNNNNNNNNNNNNNNNNNNNNNNNNNNNNNNNNNNNNNNNNNNNNNNNNNNNNNNNNNNNNNNNNNNNNNNNNNNNNNNNNNNNNNNNNNNNNNNNNNNNNNNNNNNNNNNNNNNNNNNNNNNNNNNNNNNNNNNNNNNNNNNNNNNNNNNNNNNNNNNNNNNNNNNNNNNNNNNNNNNNNNNNNNNNNNNNNNNNNNNNNNNNNNNNNNNNNNNNNNNNNNNNNNNNNNNNNNNNNNNNNNNNNNNNNNNNNNNNNNNNNNNNNNNNNNNNNNNNNNNNNNNNNNNNNNNNNNNNNNNNUCCCCCACACUUAAAAUAUGCAUUGUCCUCAAUGAAAGAAACAAACAUAAAAUAAGAGAGAGAAGAGAGAGGAAAGAACACACCCGAGUAGUCAAGGAGGAUAGGUGAUCACAUAAGCAGCCUUUCCCAAAGAGAUAUAUUCUACAUUUUCUUCUUCCAAAGUGGGGUUGUCAUGGAAUAACUUUGGGUAAUGUCCAUUGAACUUGAAAUUUUUAUUAGUAUCUUCGCCUCUUAUUCCAGGAUCAAAGAAUCUUCUAAAAGUAAAAGUGUCAAAUAGACACGUGAAGGUGAUCUGAUCUGGAAUAUCAGCCAAUGUCCAACCAAAUGCCUUUUUAUGCUUCCUUAAAACAUGCAAAAGCUCAUUUUCUUAAUCAAAAUCAAGGUUAGAAGAAAUUAUAGUCGGUAGUUUUUCAUUCAUCUUUAAAUAAGCAUAUUUCAUAUUUUCAAGAAGUUGCUUCAGCUCGAGGGAAGGUGGCUGCUCAAUAGAAGGAGUGUUUGGGGCAGUAGGGAUGUCAAGAGCUUUAUCUACAUGAACAACUUUAUUUGCAACCUCAUUUGCAGUAAGAAUAUCAACUUGCAAGACAGUCUCAAUUUCAGCACAAACAGAGCAAAUUUUAGUUUCAGUACAAAUAUGACAAGAAUAAAUAUCAUAAAAACCAAACAAUGAUGGAAAAUCAGAUGCAAACAAAUCACUACAAGUAUCAUCAACAAUUUCAGAAAUCAAAUCUAUUUGAAAAACAGAAUGUUCUUCCAAGAGUUGUUGGUUUGAUCCUUGAGCUUGAUGCAUGGCAUUCACCAAAGUGGCAAGCUACCCAAUCUGUGUUUGCAAAGUCUUUAAAGUAGAAUCUACUUGUUGUUGAAACUGGAGAUUAUUUGCAGCCAUUUGUUUGACAAUAUCUUCUAGUGAAGGUCUAGAAGGUGCAGAGCACACAACCUCAAUGUUUGCAAAGUCUUUAAAGUAGAAUCUACUUGUUGUUGAAACUGGAGAUUAUUUGCAGCCAUUUGUUUGACAAUAUCUUCUAGUGAAGGUCUAGAAGGUGCAGAGCACACAACCUCAAAUUCCUUCGGAUGCUCAUGCGGAUCCUCACCUGCAAGACCACUAAACCUUGGAAACAAGUGUAUUAAACCAGAUUUCAAUUCAAAAGGAGUGUCAGCUCCAGGAUAUUUAAUACACAUGCCAUUAUAAUUCACAUCAGGGACAGCUAACUGUCUUAAAGUUCUUUGGUCAGUCAUAGUCAAAAACAAACACAAUGAAGGAAAACGAUUAAAAUAAAAUAUAAAAAAACACAAAAAUACGAAAAUUAAUCUAAUAACGUCAAUUAAGAAUUUUCAGAAUUUUUGCGGAAUUUUUUGAAACUACCAAAACAGAAAAUAAAUCAUAAAAAAUAGAAAAAUAAGGAAUUUCGAUAUUUUAGGGUGUCGUCCAUUAUUUAGUUCCUAAAUAAAGGUUUUUGAUCCUUGAUUUUUUCCUAAUAAAUCGACAAAAAAUCGGAAUAAUCUGAGACGAUUUUCUUUAAAACAGAAUUUUUUCCCUACACCGCAAAAAGACCCGAACGCAAGGAAGUUAAGGCAAAAAAUGCUAUAAAAAAACAAGAAUCCUCGACAAUUAAUAUAAUCAAGAAUCCCCGACAACGAGGCCAAUUUGAUCCGUUGUCGCGCGCGGAUCAAAAACGAGUAUUUUUGACAAAACGUAGUUAGCGACAAAUUGACUCGGAUUAUCGUUCUCACAAGGAUUCUUGAAUGAAUUAACCAAUGAUAGUAACGAUUAAUGGGGUUUUGGUUGGUUUAGGAUUCAAUUAAAAAAAUAGAUUAAAAUAAGUGAUUAUUGAAAUAAGUUGUAGCAACAAUUUACUGAUUCGGUCUUUGCCUAUCAUCGACUAUCGUAAUUCCAACCGCAGAUUAACUAUUCCUAUUCGAUUAUAAUAUCAACUGACAAGCGUAAUUGAUAGUAUAAGUUGUAUGUUCCUAUUAUCCGAAUUAAGCAAACGGGAUUAAGUUUCAUGAAUUAAGCAAACAUGAAUUAAACGGACUCGAUAACGAAUUAAGCAAACGAAAUCGUGACUAUAGUUAGGAUCACACAAUCAAUCGGAUUAAAUCAAUAUAGCAUAUGUAAAUCGGAUUAAGCAAACAAAAUACAUAUAUUAAUAUUGAAAGGAAUAAAAAACCUGAAUAAGAAUUACUAAAAUCUCAAGGUAUCGGAACCCGAAUACAGCAAAUUGUUUGGAUCGAUUAGUUCUUCAUGAGAAUUCUUGCCAAAGCUUUCAAGUAUUUCGUGAAUAGUGAUCAUCCUAAUGUUAUGCGGCUGCUAGGUAUAUGGAAAACAAGGAAUUUGGUUUACAACCCAACUGGAUCGAAAACAUAACCCAAACCCAAAACUAAUGACCCAAAACUUAAAUAAAACUAAUGCUGCAACUUCAACGAAUUUUCUGGCCCUGCUACAGUCUGAUUCAGCUCUUGACUUAUGAACAAAAGUUGUAGAUCUUUUUCUUAGCUUUCCAUCGACUGGUAGCACGUCUCAAUCCGAUACUCCUAGCUCAAGAUAUGAUUUUUCUCGCGAAAGCUGCUAAUGCUGAAAAUUAAAUACGAAAAUUAAAUAAGUGCAAAAAUAACAUAAAUUAUGAAAACACAUUAAAACAUAAAAAUAAUCAAAGCAAACCGAAGAAAUGCUUAAGUACAAACAUGGAAGAAUGUGCAUCAAAAUGCACUGAUCAAUGGCCUUUUUCCCAGGCUUGAUUGACAACUUCAAUUCGACCAAAUCUUUGUUCAAACAAGGCAUCUCGUCGUAAUCCCACGCAAAACAGUCCUUGAACUCCUCCAGCAACUGGAUCACUUCAAUUAGGCAUGGCAACAUAACCCGUACCUACGGGUACCCACCUGAACCUGCCCCGAAGUUGACUGGGAAAACCCGCUUUGACUGGGUUUGGGUUUUCCCCGAUUAUAAAAUAUGGGGACGGGUCGGGUAAAGGGGACACUAGUACCCACCUCGACCCCGCCCCGUUUAUUUCAUUAUGUAUAUUAUUAUUUUUAUUUUUGAUAAUUUGGAAUAUUAAAUAUGUGGUUAAUGUUUUGAUAUUUUAAUUUUAAUUUUUUAUUUAAAAUAUUUGAAAUGUAUGAAUGAAACUUUUUUUGAUUGUUAUAUUUUAUCAUUUGUAAUGUAAUUUUAUUUUGGAAAAAAAAAUAUUUCUAUUAAAAAAAUUGAUUUCACUAAAUGAAUGGUGGCGGGGCGGGGAUACCCGAACCCGUUUCGGACGGGUUUAGAUUUUGAUUCCCCAUCCCUGUUUGGAUUUGGGAUGGGGAAUGGGGAUUGUUUGGGGAUUUGGGUUUGGGGGAGGUAAAAACCAUCUUUGACCCGUCUCAUUGCCAUGCCUAUCUUCGACUUUAAGUUGAGGGUUCAUGGCGCUAAUAUAAGUUGGCCUUCUUGUCAAUCUAUCUCCUAAGUCUAUUUCUUCAAGUGGAUCUUGCGCCAACAUUUUGAUAUUUAUUGCCAACGGAUCUUUCUCGAAUCCCAAAGGCUCUUCGUCAUAAAUAACGUCGAGCCUCUGACCUUGAUCUUCAUCUUGAACCUUAUCAGGUGGUUAUGGAUCAAAGUCCUUUCUAGGACCUUCUUGGUGAGAUUCCUUGUUGUCUUCGAUAGUCAAGUUUUUGACUUCAACCUCUAAGGCCUACUGUUGUUUGUUUUCGGCUAUGUAAGCCGAAAUCCUUUUUAGCGCUUCGAACUCAGUCAUCAUCACUGAAUUCGCUCCCCUAACAUGUUGGGUCAAUUCCUGAUGUUCCUAUGUACCUAAACGCAUCUUCGUCCACUAGUUCAUGAUCCCAUUGAAAAUCAUUUUUGGGGUUUAGAUACAAAGAACAAUAGGCAUUAUCGCCCGGAGUGAAUGCAAAGCUGGUCGGGUCGCAUGGAGCAAUAUUGGCCAAAUGUUUGUCGAAUUGGCGCCUUUCGACAUGAUUUAUAAGAGUCUUGAAGUAGCCCUGGUUUGCUUCUAUGUUCUCCACAAUAUCGUCGGUGUGCCGUAUGAUGAUUCUCUGGUGCAUGGAGGAUGGUACAACUCCAACUCCAUGUAUCCAUUCGCGUCCAAAUAACAAGUUAUAGUUGGCCUUUGUCUCCACGAUUGUAAACAUUGUUGAUCUGGUGAUAAUUCCUACUGUUAACUUGACGUAGAUUACUCUAAGGGUAGUACCCAUCUUUCCCUCGUAGUUGGAAAACACCAUGUUGUGGGGCUUGGCAUAUGUGUCAUAUUUGCCUAUUUUUCUCAACAUGUGAUGCGACAUCAGAUUUACCGUUGCGCCGCAAUCUACCAGGAUCUUGUUAGUUGGGACGUCUUCGACCCUCCCAGUAAUAAAUAGAGGCUUAAGAUGAUUCUUCAUUGCCUCAUCUGGUCUUUCGAAGAAAGCAUUUUUCUCCUCUACGUAACCAUUGUUCAUUACAUAAUAGCACACUGGUUUGUGAGCGGCCAUUUCCCUCUCUAUGAUGAUAUUAGUGUCUUCGACCUCUGUUAUCUGGUUAAAUUCUCUGAGCAACACUGAUACCAUACCAACUAAGAUAUCCAGUGAAGGCUCUGACCCAGAGUCGAAGUCAUCCGUUAGCAUUUCCUCUUCGUCAACCAUUCGAUCAUAUUUCUCUAUUCCCUUCUCCAUUGGGACCUUGUCAUGGGAUUUUUCCCUUUGUAGUUUUUAGAGAUGUGGGAUGUUUUACUGGCAGCCUAGAAUUCCUUACGGUAUGCCAAUGGCAAACCUCUAUCUACUUCGAAGUUCUUUCAUUUUCCCUGACCACGUUUUCUACCCUCAACUGCCUUCACCCAUUUUCCGUUGGAAGCCUCAUCAUUGGGCUUGAAAGAGACAGGUUUGACAACAGGGCCCCUUUGUUCUAUAUCAUCCAACCUCACCAAAGUUCUAUUUGGAUCAAAAUACCUUCUCGGGUUGAAUGCCCUUCUGAGCUCAAAAGCCUGUUGAUCCUUAAGGGUUCUCUGGAACCUUUGGUCUUUUUCCCUCCUGACUCCUUCAAGGUUGUGGGUCGCUUGUUUGUCGAACACGACACUACAACGAGGGCACAUCAUAACCUCCGAUUUUUUAAUUUGGCAUCUAUGAAGGAAAUCCAUCAGAGUCUCCUCCUCCUUUGGGAAGGCCACUUUAUUGUACUCUUCUUGUCGACACUCGUUGUCAACUUCGAUGGAAGUUUCUUGGAAGAUUUCGACCAUGUUCACCUCCAUGUCGACAUCUUCAGUGUUGUCUAAUUUUUGGAAUUUCAAUUGAAGCCCCUCAGUAGCCUUAUCAAUUUGUUUGAAACUAUCAUUAGUUUCUUUGGUUGCUAUCACCAAGUUGGAAUCCUCAGUGACUCCGGUGUCGAAACCAUCAGUAGUUCCACUGGUGAAGCUUUCAACAGAUUCCUGAGCAAAGUUUUUGGGGAAUUCCUGGUCAAGGUGCUCAUAGACCCUGACCAUGACAACUUUGUUGACGAAGUCUCCAAUAACUUCGACCAUAGUAGAGGUAUGGCUGAAGUCAUCAGCAACUUCGACCAUAUUGACUUCACCUGGAUCUAUGUAAUGGUCAUCAAGCACUUGCAGAGGAUCGAAGUCGAUCUUCAUUUGGCUUCUGGGUUUGUCCCCUAACUUGAGUCUUCCUUCCUGGAUAGCAUUCUGAACAAGAUCCCUGAAAAGAAAACAUUGAGACAUUUUAUGACCCAGAAAAUUACGGUACUUGCAAAACCCUUUUUUCUUUCUUUGUUCCAAAGGAGGCAUUUUAGCACCAGGAGGCACUAUCAUUUGGCCAUCCUUAACUAACAAAUCAAAGAUCUCAUCACAUUUUGUAACGUCGAAUAUGUAAGUUUUCUUAGGAAAUUUAUCAUUUUUUCUGGUUCGAUAGGGUUUUUCCCAAUCGAUGGGGCCAAGACCUUACAAGAGUAAGGUGACUCUUGUUUCAACUCAGCAAGGUCGAUCUCAUUUUUGUCUAAAUCCAAAGGCUCAUUAUUGGAUCCUUCAUCAUCAUAACUGAAUUCGACAUAGGUCGCUCUUUUACUCUUAUUUGCUCUAGCCUUUUUCUUCUUUCAAGCAUUCUAACUAUCGAACCCUAUCAGCCAGUUGGGCCAUAUCUCUCAAAUACUGGGUGUCUAACUUUUUUCUGAUAGAAUAGUCAAGGCCCCCAAUGGCCAUUUCGACCAACUCAUGCUCUUAUACCUGUGUAAAACACAUGGCCUUGAGAAAUUGAAAUCUAUUUAAAUAAUCAUAAAUUGGUUCAAUAAAUUUUCAUUUAAUGCUGGCCAAUUCCUUUAGGUUUAUCUUCGUUUGCCCCGUGCAAAACUGCUUAUGGAACACUCUUUAUAACUUAUUCCAAGUGUGGAUCAAAUUUUGUGGCAAGGUUGUAAACCAUGUGAAGGCGUUCUUCGUGAGAGAACUUGGAAAGUACUUUAUCCUAAGGUUUUUGUUGUUCGAAAUGUCUUUUGCCUCUAUUAUAUACCUAGCCACAUGUUCGAUAGUGAAUUCACUAGUAUCCCUAGAAGACUUAGUAAAUUUGGGAAUUUUCGUUAUAGGGGGUGUAUAUGUCUGUAGGAUAUAUUCCGACAAAGGUGAUGUAUAAUUUGGCCUUCGAAGGCCGAAACUCACCCCAUUUCGUGCCAUAAUCCUUUCGACCAUAACUGCUAGAUUGUUAUUUGUUGCCAUAUCAUCAUGUCGAAUUCGUUGUAUGACAUCAUCAAUAUUUUGGUUUCUAUUUACCAUUACUAUCCUUGGCUCUCUCUCUCUGGGGAUUUGUGGUUCAACCCUAUGAGGUUCGACUCCUACUCCUUGAUUUGCCAUCUCUGGUGGCAAUUGGUUUUGUGGAAUUUGGUUAAUGGUAGGGUCUUCUUUGAAGGUUACCCCUUGGUUUUCUCUUAUCCCAUCCCUUGGAGGGUGUCGAAGGGGUUGUGGCACACCCAAGAAGUCAACCAUUCGCGUCAUCUGCGUUGUCACCCGCUGGUUCGAUUAUGUUGUAUUUUAAAUCAAGGGAUUCAAUACAGUGGUCAAUGUUUGGGUAAGCAUUUGGACCAUAUCAUGAUUGCUGUCAUCCAUCUGCUGCCUCCACACGCUGUAGAAUUAUUGGUAAGGUUAGGCAUUUAUGUUUAAUAUCCUAAACCUAAAGAUUGGUCAUUUCGACCCAUGUUAACCCCAGAUCCUGACCCUUGUAAUGGGGAGGUUAUAUUAACCACUGUUUCUGAGAGUGUCGAAGCAGCGUUAUGCAAACCUGCCAUUACUGAAGUCGGCAUUCCAUAAGGUUGUUCUCGACCACCAAAAGGUAUGGAGAAACCAGGGGGUACCAAAGGCAUGUUUGGGAUAUUCCCAAUUGGCGAGGGAGUGUUAGGAUGUCCACUUGGACCAAUCUAAGUCAAAAUGGGUUCAAUGUGGGCAAUCGAAUAUGUAGGCAUCGAACUUGCCAUAGAUGGUAUCGGUUCAGACACGGUCAUUGUGGUCGUGUUUUCCCCAGUCGAAGAAGAAGAAGGGGUGGUACAUUAUUAUUUGGAUUUUGAGGAUUUCGGUUACUUGGAGCAUUUGGGUUCGCCAUUCUCCUUGGUUUAUCUUCAUUGGUGUUGGCUACUUUACCACUUCUUAAUAACAUGCAACGAAUUUUCAAAAGGGAAAAAUGAUUAAAAGACCAGAAGUAGAAUAAAUGAAGAAAAAAUCACUUUUUCAAGUGUUAGCAUUGUCCCACUGGGCGUGCCAAUUUGUUUACCGUGAAAAUUGGUAAACAACCGCUGAUCUUCCAAAUUACUAGACUUGGUUAUUUACAGGAUCGAUCAGAUUGAUCUUAGGACAUGUGCUAACCGUUUUUAAAAGUGAAUUCCAAUGAACAUAAACCCUUCGACAAUGUUCAUACCAGCAAUGGUUUGUUAAAAUAUUUAAUGAAAAUUUAAAGUGAAAGAAGGCAAACAAAAUGCUGUAAAUCGAAAAUAAAUGGUAGUAAAGAUAAAUUUUUGGGUAAAGUGUAAUUUUGGAAAUAAAGAACUGAUUAAAUUACUUCAAAUAAAACAAUGGUGUAACAUCAAACGUACACUUCUCAAUUUUACUCUUUCUCUGCACAUGGAUACUUGGGUAAAACGGACAAAUUUUGUACACACUUGAACACACUCAAUCCUAACACUAAGACCUCUUUAUUUAUACUAAUCGAAGUAACCGUCUCUAACGACCUUUUCACCAAAUCGAGACAAGUGGUGCUUUGCAUGCAUGUAACUAUCCAUUAUGCUCCACAUGUAUUUUCAACAGUUUAGAUAAGAACAAGAGUUCUCUCCUUUAUUUGAAUUUGAAUCUCUCGUUGAACCCCAACUGGUGAUGCCUCUGUCGAAAAAACACCUUAAACUACUUAGAAAUAUUUCUAAGUCCAUGCAGCAUUGUUGCCCUUGUACCAAAGCAUCUUCGACAAGAACUUCAAAUGCACAAUUUGUCAUAACAUCUUCACAGGAAACUUUAUUCUCUUAAUUCAUAUGGGCAUCGAAAUUGGGAUCUAACACUUGGAUCACAAGUUAUGGCCUUGGAAAGUUGGGUACUUCAACAUGUAUUUUUUUCAUAACUUAGAAAAAUUUACAAAACCAAAUCUUACCCUUUAUGCAAGUAACCUUCAAUUUUUUGUUUUCUCUGGAUCAAAUGCAUCCAUCAACCAUAUUUUCAUGAUCCUUGAGUUGAGAAGUCCAUGGUUGACCAAAAAUGUCAAAAGUCAAACUUUGACUUUGCCUCAGUUGACUUUGUAUCAGAUGAAUCCAAUUGUUACAAUCUUUAAUGAAUGGGAUCUCUUUGGCACAUUGGAUGAUGUGAAUGGAUCAUUUAUGAUGUAUUUGAAGUCUUUGAACCACACUUCAAGCUUGGGGAUCAAGCCUUGGCUAAAAAGUAAACCAGUUGACUUUGGGUCAAAACCCUAGUUGAGGGUAUCAAAUGAACUUUGGCCUUGAUGAAUUUGAGAUGGAAUGAUCUUGAACUUGAUUCUUGUUGAUGGAAGUCACUUGAUCACUUGGGAAGGAUGAGGGGUUUGAAAUGUUGAAACUCAUGCUAUGUCUUUAUUGAUCAAUCUUUGGAAGCUCUUGGUGCAAAACCCUAACUUAAGAGAAACAAAGUAGAAAAUCUUUUUGUAUUUUCAAUAGGUUAGUAAUGCAAAGAUGCUAGAUGUCAUGCAAAAUAAACAAAUGAUGGUGGCAUCUUAGGGUUAAAAAUUAGGGUAUGACAAGAUGGAUAAAAUUUUUGGGGCAAAAUGUUGGGUAUGACAAUUAUCAUUCCACAUCGAAGUUGAAAGGUGUUGGUUGAACCUUCUCAAAAGUAAAGAGAUGAAACAAGCAUAUUGAGGUUGUAUUUUGGACCAGUUUUUGACAAUUGAAUCAAGUCAUAUAUACCUUGAUUUUUCCAGGUUUGUUAUUUUUUCUUUUCUACUUUAUCCAACUAAUUUGAUAUAAGCUUCAUUACUAAUGGUUGGAGAGGAGCGGACACAUGUAGGGGUGAACUCAUAAAACCUAAUUCAUAAAUAAUAUCUUAAAAUGCACGAGGUUUGCAAUGGCGAAGACAAGGGAAACGUUUAUUGAAUUUAUCAAGUUUUGUAUUAAAUAUGUGAAAUGGAUCCAAGAAUGCAUGGACUUUGUCAAAAAUGGAAAAAAAAAGGAUUAAUAUCUGGGAAGCCCAAAUAAUGGCUUUAUCCUUUUCCAUUGGAGGUUCAGGAACGUAACUCCGAUUGUUUAUAAAGAUGAAUUCUUCAAGAUCAGAAACGGAUGGAAAUGGAAGUUGUUUAUUCAUACCAAAAGAAGCCAUUGUUGUUAGAAUUUAGAAAAAGAUUGUUGAAGUUAGGUUUGGAGAAAAAUUAAAGGUCUCUUAGGUUUAGAGAAAAGGAAGUUGGCGAAAAGAAAAAAGAAUUGAAUAAGGGUUUAUAUAUAGCUUGUGAAGUGAAGCUUUUCAGUUCCCCUUUUUUAUUUAAAACCAAUUAGCAUUUAAUUUUAUGAAUUAAGAUUAAUUAAGAUUUGUUUUAAAAAUGGUUAAUUCUCGGGGCCCAUGAUGGCAUUUCACACGCAUGUUGUUGACGCGACAGUUUAGUGAAAAUAGUCAUGAUGAUGACGUCUGUAAACAUUUGUGAAUAAUGUCGAGAUGUUACUAAAAAUGUCACCUUUCUUCCAUCUAAUUAAUAUGAUCAAAAGUGAAAAUUUUGGGGGGCAUCUAUUAGCUUGGGAAUUUUAGUCUAGGAUUUUUGACAUGAAAGUGUGAUACAAAUGCAGCAGAUUAUGAAGUAUAAAGCUACUUAGCUACAUCUUUGAGAUAUGGAUUAUUUCGACUGAGGUGAUGAGUUUGACUCGCCUACCAUGUGUUUUGGGACUUAGCGUAUUUUGGAGUUCAAGGAUUAGACGACCUGGAGAUCCACAAAACCUAGUUUGGAGGAAUCUCAAGAACAAAUCCACAAGAUUAGGACCACUCUAUCUUCAAAACAUGUCCAAAAUAUCGAAAAGGUUUUUGUGAUUUGACAUAUUCAAUAGGAACGAGGGUACAAGAUAAAUACAUAAGUUAAAACACAAGUAGUUCAAUCACAUUUCGAAAAACUACAUAGUUCAAAAAAUAAGCUCUUCGACAAGGGUAGUUAAUGUUUGUAAAAACGGUUUCAAAAUGUGAAUAGUAGUUAGGGAGAAGUUCAAAGGCCAAAGGCACGUGGAAUAUGCGUCCCUUUUUCUAACUUUGUAAUGAACACAUUUUUAUUUAAACUACUUUUAUUAUUUCUUUGUUUCACUUUAAUUUCUUAGAACAAUUGUGCAUUGUUCUUAUUGGGAUUUCUUCCCAAUUUUCCUUACAUUCAAGCGUUAAUAAACAAGCACAAAUACACUUUCUCAAAUAUUUUGCACCAAUCAUCCAUAUGAUUUUUUCGAGUUUAAUCCCUUAAGUGAACAAAAAUUUGUGAUUUAAUUUACUAAAAAAACGGUAAAUGAUAUGUAUAUUAUGUUGUAUGAUGGUUAGGGUUUACCCAAGGCGGUGAGAAGCCCUAUGUGGCGGUGUUUUAUGGUGGUUUUAAAAGUCCCGCUCACUUGAGGUAAGAGGCUCCAUGGAUAGACGAUAUGUUUAGGUAUAAGUUGAUGAGGGGUGUGAUCAGUAUGAGUUACGAUCUUUCUAAGCGUUAUGCUUGAGUAUGUAAUAAUAUAUCCCUUCCUCCCUUGAGAGAGAUGUAUUUUUAGAGGCGUUUAAGGCAUAAGGUUCUCUUAGAAAAGGUCAUGACCCACUCAGUCAAUGGUGAACCAUUGAAUCCCUUUUUCAAGGAGGUCUUGGGUCAGUUAUUGAGUAUGACUUCUCUCUACCCUAGGAACGCCUCUUCCAACGUUUCCCAUGCAUGUGUGAUAUGAAUACUUGCAGGGGCGAGGGGAUAUCCCACCUUUGGGAGAUAUGUUAUUGUCUCUCCUUGGGCGUCCUAUAACCAUCACCCUAGUGAAGUCGUUUUAAAAAAUAACUCUACAACUAUUAUGUUUUUUUAAAUAUUUUAUCUUCAUUGUUGUGAGGUGGGAGUCUUGAAGUGGUUCACAUAAUAUGUGUGGUGUUUCGUUCAUAUUGAUAACGUGUUGUUAUACACAUAGAAUAUUGAAGUCGUUCAUUGAUAAUGUAUUUCUUUCCACCUAGAGUCUUGUGGUUCAUAUAAUAUAAGUGGUGUUAAAGCCUUCUGAAAACUAGUAAAUGUCAUCUAGAAUAAAAAAUGAGUAAGAAUUGCAUCCAAUAGAAGCCACCACAUUGGAAAAAUGAGUAAGCAUUGCAUCCAAUUGCAUCCCUAAAAAAUGAUGAAUUCAAAAUAUUUUGUAACGACAAUGGUAUUUAACAUAAGUUUUCCACUCCAUGAACUCUUAAACAAAACGGGGAAGUAGAAAGGAAAAAUAUAUCUCUUGAGGAGCUUGCAAGGACGAUGCUUAAUGAGAUAGAUUUUCCUAAAUAUUUCUAGGCCUAUGUAGUAAGCACUGCCAAACAAACUAGUUUUCGUAUAGGCUAAGAUAAACAUAUAUACAAUAAAGAACAAUAAUUGAUCAUUGGUCUCUAAAAAUGAUAUCUCUUUUUACUACUUCGGUAUCGUUGUACGCUUGCGGCAUAUCACUAUCAACUGAUUAAUGAUAUAAAACUUGUAACCUAUAUGCAUUUGCGACACAUGAAAAGCUAUGUAUGGAGGUGAGGAUAAUAUCACCCUUUAAUAGUUUUUAUACUUUAGGAAUUCCCGUCUUCCAAAAGGAACCAUCAUCCUAAAAACACUCAGGCUAAGUCAAUAUGCUAUAGGGACACCCCUCCCUUAAAAUCAUUGCUAGCUCGAAGACUUUUAUACAACAGAGCCCCAAUUGAUGACAACCAUAUGAUGCUCUCUCCCUCAGUUUGAUAUUUUUGCUUCUCUUGUAAAGAGUACACCAUGCAUCUCUUUUUUAGACUGCAUGUUUUUUGCCAGGCUUUGAUGUUGGUUGGCCUCCGCUCUGAACCCGAAUUAGCGCUGCCAAAAUAUUGAAGAUCCUUGGAAAAUCUAUGACAAUAAUUGGAACCCUAGGUGCUAGGUGAUUUUUAAUGUAACCAUAUGUUAUAUCACAUCAAUUAUAUGACAUGCUAGAAACAACCUGAUAUUCAAGAAUAAGAACCAUGUUUAAAAUUCCAUCAUUGCUACCAUUUAUACUUAAAUACGCAUGACAGGUAAUAAAACAAAGUUGUUGGCCUCAAACUCCAUAAGAGAUUUUUGCAUCCUUAAGAGUUUUAGCAUCUAUAUUCAUCGCCUAAAGUAUGCUUUCAUCAUAGAGGUAAUAUGGAUCCCUUCCCUCUUGGGUUAAUUGUAACACAUAUGAGACCUCAACAUUUGGUAUGACAUACCUUAAAUUAUUAGAAAUAGCUUUAUCAGGGACAUGAUAUGAUCACCAAACUAUAAAUUUAUAAAUUUUUAUGAGAAACCAAUAGAUAAUUAUAUAACCCUAAAUCCAAGAAAGAGACAACACACAAGUUAAAUAAUUUUCUAUAAAUAGACCUGCACUGACGAUUGAAAAAUGAUUCAAAAUUUAGAGACAAUCAAUAACAAGGAAGAAAUAACCAUUUAAAAAAAUGUAACUUUGAAAUACUUUAACUUAAACACUUGUGAUUAAUCUAAAAGUGUAGAUUCGUCGAUCCAAAAUAGUCAAGAAUACUUUUAGUUCGUAUAUGUUGCUUAAUGAAGAGUAUUUAUAUCACAAUAUCAAUAUAUUUUAUAAUAUUGAAUUACAUAUAUAUGUAAAUAUAAAUUAAAUAAAUAUCUAUUCAAUAGGUAAAUAAAAAAUUAUUUCUUUUUAAAAGAAUAUUUAAUUUUUAAAAUAAAAAUAGAGAGACAAAAAAUAUUUAUAAUCAUAAUAAUUACGUUCCUAAGUAUAAUUACUCUUUAAAAUAAAUCACAAAAAUUAAAAAAAAUGGUUAGAAUAUUAAUUUUAUAUAACUUUAUAAAUUUAUGUUUAGCAUAUAGUAUUAUUUAAUAUUUAUAUAAGAGAAUUUAAUGCAGAUUGUUUAAAAAACAUAUAAUAUAAGUAAGAGUAUGUGUUAUAUGUAUAAAGAAAUAAUUAAUGCAUUUCAAAAUAGUCAUAUAAAAAGUGGGGAAAAAAAUCAAGAUGAUUUUAUAAUUAGAAUUUGUAUAAAAAAAGAGUGAUAUGUGUUGAGAAAGAAAUACAGCAUCAACCAAAAACACAAUAGCAGUAUAGCACAUGGGAGUUGAUCUGCAGGAGCAAAACAAAACAAAAUCGCACCGUUAAAUUUUAGUUAUCGACGUUCAAUAUUAGUUUGCGCAUAGGGCGCGGAUCUCAAGCUAAGACCAUUGAUUAAAUUGAAUCCAACGACGAAUAUCAAAACACAAAAUUCAUUUUCCUCCUCUUCCUCCCGCUCGCUCCGAUACAUAUACGCCGAUCUCUUUCAUUGUUUCCCACUCGAAUUCAAAUUGAAAUCUUAACCCUAAUUUCUCGAUUUCCUUUAGCUUCUCAAAUUUUCUCGCGAAAAUGUCAGGCCGUGGAAAGGGUGGUAAGGGACUCGGAAAGGGAGGUGCAAAGAGGCAUAGGAAGGUUCUUCGUGAUAACAUCCAAGGUAUCACAAAGCCAGCUAUUCGUAGAUUGGCAAGAAGAGGAGGUGUGAAGAGGAUCAGUGGUUUGAUCUAUGAAGAAACCAGAGGAGUUCUCAAGAUCUUUUUGGAAAACGUCAUUCGUGAUGCUGUUACAUACACUGAGCACGCAAGGAGGAAGACUGUUACCGCCAUGGAUGUUGUUUAUGCUCUUAAGAGACAGGGAAGAACCUUAUAUGGAUUUGGAGGUUGAUUAAGAAUCAUUCAUUUCUUUAUUGUUAUUAGCUUUAGAUUUGUAAUAGGAGUGUGAUUGUAAUUCUUGAAUCUUGUGAUGAUGUUUAGGUUAAUUGCGAGAUGAAAUUCUCAAUGAAAUCACAACAUACUCAAUUUACACGGUUUGAAAUUGAAAUCUAAUGAAAACCAGUGCUUUUUGUUGAUCUCUUAUUCUAAUUUAUUCUUUUUAUUAAUUGUCAAUUUGCAUAACAUAUUUAAGAAUUUGAGUAUUUGAAAACGUUAACUUGUUAUAAAUCAUGAAUUGAUUCAGCCUCACAUUACUUUGCUUCUUGCCGCUUUGUGUUUCAGUGUCUUCUACCCUGGAACUACAUAAGUGAAUGUAUUUUUUUUGAAUUUUUAGCUUAAGCAUUUUGUAUUUGAGAAUUUCUGUUUAGAUCUAAAUUUGGGUUAAGUUGAAAAUAGUAAGAUGAAUGUUAGAGCCGAAUGACGUAGUCUUGAAAAAAUACAAAAUUGCACGGGAGGAAAUUUGAUGCUUAGAAAUGUAUAAUGAGAAUAGAUGGCCGUGGGGGUGUCUCUUAACAGCACAGAUUAUCUUUUCUUUUGAUUCAAUCAGCUAGUUUUUGCAUCAUAAGUUUAAAGCUUUCUGGAUGAGAGACUAGGGUAUGAGUGUUUAGAAUAGGAAUUAGCACGUUGGGCUAAUUGUUAGUGGAUCUGGAGCAUGUUUUUCCCCCUCUUAGUAAAAGACCUAGGAGUUGUUGUUUAAGUGGUUGUUUCUUUUUUGAAUUCCUGUGACCGAUGUAUGUGAGUCUUUACUCUGAUACAUACAUGUAUGCUUAUGAAACAUAUUUGCAUGCUUAAAGCUUUGAAGACUAAGAACUAUGCUUAUGAAAACUUUCCUCCGUUCGACAUAGUAUUGGGAGAUGCAUAAAAGGAGCAAGAUGAAUUGCAGCUUAAUGAUUUUAAGAUCAAGAAUUAUGUUUUUUAAGCAUUGGAUCGUUUUACCUUGAAUGCAAUUUUCAAGAAGGCUAUUGCAAAGGAUAUUUGGAACUCCAUGAAAAUAAAGUAGCAAGGGGCAAAUCAAGUCAAGUCGACUCCCUUUUUUUGUUUGAAUUCUUACUAUCAUCAAUAAGAUGAAAGUCAACGGUGAAAACAAUGACGAUAAUGAUGUAAUGAGGAAGAUUUUGAGGUUGUUGACACCAAAGUUCAACUAUAUUGUAUGUUCUAUUGAGAAGUCAAACAAUACAAAUGCACUGGCCAUUGAUGAAUUUCAAAUGAUCUGGCUGUUACUUAUGGAGGUCGAGGACGUGGUCGUGGAGCUCGAGGUAGAGGUUGUGGUAGAUAAAGUCAUGAUCGAUCAAUCGUAGAAUGCUACAAAUUCCACAAGCUGGGAAAUUUCCAUUAUUCGAAAAUGAGGCUGAUUAUAUUGAAAGUCAAGAAGAAAUGCUGCUUAUGGUUCAAGUUGAUAAUAUCACACGUUCUUAUGAAAAUCAAUGGUUCUUAUGAAAAUCAAUGGUUCCUUGAUUCAAGAUGGAACAAUCACAUGUGUGGUAUUAAAUUAUCUUUUUUUGAUCUUGAUGAAAAUUAUCGUCACUUGGUUAAAUUGAGGAAUAAUACCAGUAUGGGUGUACUAGGCAUGUGCAAUAUAAGAUUGCAAGCAAAUGGUAGGGAACACGUAAUCACUUUAAUUUUCUUUAAGCCUGAUUUAAAGAAUAAUUUACAAAACAAAAACCUAACUAUCGUGUUUUAAGGCGGAACAGGCAGGAGUAUUUCAUCCCGAAAAGGCUCUCCUCAUGGAAACAUAUUUGACUGUCAAUCAAAUGUUCAUUCUGAAUGAUGUGACUCAACAUAAGUCUUUCACAUGUUUUAACACUGUUGUUGAGGAUGAAGGGUACCUUUGACAUUGUCGGUAUGGUAAUUUAGGUUCAAGGGAUUCCAAACUCUUGCUUAGAAAAAGAUGGCGAUUGCACUUCCUCACUUGAACAUUCAUGAAAGACAUGAAGAGAUUGUUUGGUUGGGAAGCAACACAAUGAUUCUUUCCUUUCACAUAAUGGAGAGAAAAUCACAUUCUACAAUUGUUUCAUGCUAAUAUUUAUGGGCCAAUUAAACCGAAAUUCAAUAGUGGAAAAAGGUAUUUUAUAACUUUAACGGAUGAUUUUAGUCGCAAAAGAUGAGUUUAUUUUUUGACUACAAAAUCAAAAGCUCUAGCUGUUUUUAAAUGCUUCUAUAUUCAUGUCGAGAAAGAAAUUAGUCAUGUUAUCAAAGGCCUAUGCACAAAUCGAAGAGGGGAGUUUACUUCCCACGAAUUCAUGCAAUACUGUGUAGAGCAUGGUAUCCAACACCUGUUGACAACCACAUAUUCUUCAUAACAUAACGAUAUUGUCGAAAGAAAGAAUCAAACUAUAAUGAAUCUUGCUCGAAGCAUGUUGUCCUAUAAAGAAAUUCCUCGUAUGUUUUGGCUGAAAGUUGUCAAUCGGAAUGUGCACAUCUUAAAUCGCAACCCUAAUCACGAUGUAAAAAGUAAAACCCCUAAAAAAAAGCUUAGAGUGACAUCAAACAUUCAUUUGAGUAUUUUUAGUGUUUUUGGUUGCAUUGGCAAUGUUCAUAUUCCUGAUGGUAAGCCAACUAAAUCGAUAACAAGAGUUUUCCCUAAGUUUUACUUGGCAUCAGUAAUGUAUCAAAAACAUACCGACUAUAAGAUCCAACUUCCAAAUGAAUUAUCAUUAGCAUGGAUGUCGUCUUUGAAGAAGACAAAGCUUGGAAUUUUCACACCAAUUAUGAAUCAUCCACGGUGUAUGAGUUGGAGUGGAAGAUGAAAUAGAUGUUAGCAAAAUUAGUUCUAAAUUUCUUGAGCCUGAAAAUGUUGAUCAAUAUCCUCAACAAGCUUCUCAAAUUGCUGAUAGUGAUGAGCCCAAUUGUCAUACAUCAACUCUAGUUGAUACAUCAACAUGUUACCCAUUGGAAGACCGCCAUCAAAUAUCUUGGAUGUAUGAUUUUUGUACUUGUAAAAAGUAUAAAAUGCAUGGUACCCUUAGCUAGUAAGUGAUACCAUAUGCCUUAGUAUUUUUCUUGUGGAUCAUGGCUGCCCGCGACAAUUUGAGACCAUGUUUAGUGAUAUUUAUGGUGAUGAGAGAGUAAGCUCCUGUGAAGUGAUAAACUAUGUAGUUUUGGGGGUGUAUUAUGUGUAACUACGAUCGGUCACCUCACUUCCUUGGGAAUGAUAACCACCACCUAGUGAUUGGUGGACAGUUGAAUCCCUAUUUCUUAGGGAGACGUGGGUUAACCUGUUUACCCUGACCAAUGAAUUUCUUUUUCCAUGUUUCCCACGAUUUGGCCAGUAGGACGCACUUGAGGUGAUAUAGUUCUUAAUGGUGGGCGACAUAUGUAACACCCCGAUAAAAAUAAGAUAAUUAUUUAAUUAAGUUAAUAUUAUAUUUAUUAAUUUAAUUAAAUAAUUGGAAUUAUUGGAAUAUUAUUAUUAUUAUUAUUAUUAUCUGCAAGAAUAAUAUUUGAAAUAUAUAAGUUGGAAAUAAGGAAAAAGAGUUCCAUUUUGGUAAAAAGAGUCUUCACGUGAAAAGCAGAGAAGCGGCUGAAAAGAGAAAAGGGCAAAGAGACAGAGCAAGAGGAAGAAGGUUGGAGAAGAGAAAAACUUGAGCUUAAAGAUUCGCCGGAUUAACUCAGGUAAGGGGGUUUAUCGUCGUUUAAUGGUAUUAUGGGUUAACACUGUUGUGAGUUGUGAAAAUAUGGAUGUUCUGUCUGCGUUAACCGUUAACCCAGGGCGUUAACCGGUUAACACUGUUGAGUUUGCCAGAAAGCGUGUUCUGUCCUGCGUUAACCGGUUAACCCAGGACGUUAACCGGUUAACACUGUUGAAAAGUGGAAAAAUUAAUAUUUAAAAUGUUGUGUACAUGUUUGAUGGUUGGCCUAUAUCGGUGUAUGAUAUAGUAGGGAUCAAUUCCCGUUUUUUGAGCAGUAUAGGUAUUAGUAGAAGUGUUAAUACUGUGAUGAAUUAUUUGGCAUUACAUAAUAUGAUUAUGUGAUAAAUAUGCUGAUGAUGUGUGAAAAUAUGCAUAAUGUUGUGAAUGUAUAUAUUAUGUAUGUAAUUGUGAAUGGACUGUUAUGGCUUAGAAGUGUGAGCAUAUGUCCAUUGUGGAUUAUUGUUGAUGAUUCUGCAUUGCUAGGUGAUUUAGCAUGCAUAUUGUGCCUUUAUGUGGUAGCUAAUUCCCAUGGUAGAAUUAUGAGUUAGUCAUUAUGGACUGUUGUUGAUGUUUGCAUGCUAGGUGAAUUAGCGUGCAUAGCAUGGCCCUUGGGGUGGUAGCUAAUUCCCUGUGUGAGGAAUUAGUGAGUGAGUCACUAGUCCUCAAAUGAGUGGACUAGUGGGCUUGGUAGCCGUAUCUGGAUUUGAUCGGUGAGGUGAACAUAUGUUCACGAAUAGCGGUACCGCAUGCCAUGGAGUCUCAUGCAUAAUGUAUGUAUGACGUAUAAUAUGAAGGAUGUAUUCCAAUAUUAUGCGUGUGUUGUGUUGGCAUUGAGUAUGAGUAUGAAUUGUGUUGGUAUUGAGUAUGAUAUUUGAGUUGAUGUGCCGUUACUGAAUGUGUGAUAUGAUUAGGUGAUUAAUGUGUUAUUUACUUAGCAUUACACAUAUUUUAUAAUGCUUAUAUCGAUUGAGGAACUCACCCUUACAACUAUUUUUCAGGUAACGAGCAGUGAUUGAGUAGAAGCUAGUGCUUGGAGUCUAGUGUAGUCUCCUUAGUGGGUCAUGCUCUGAUAGAUGUAACAUCGGGACGGGAUGUUUUACCUGUUUGAAUAAUUUUACAUGUAAUGUGUUACAUGUUUUGCAUGAUUGAUUUGAUUUCUAUCCGCUGCGUAUUGUGCAAAUGCUUUAUGUUUUGAAUUAAUAAAAAGACAUGACAGUUAUUUGGUGAAUGGUGUGAAAUGAUUGUGUGACACCCUUAAUUGCAUAAUUACUCUGAUUGAUAUAUUGCUAUUUUAAUUAAAUAUCUGGGUAUUUUAGAAGGGUGUUACAUUAGUGUAUCAGAGCAUAUUCGGUCGAGUCGAGUCGUAAUUAUUCUGUUUCCCUGUACGGGAUAGGUGUUGUGUAACCCUAUCAGUACUUAUUGUUUUAGCUUGUGGGUUUUCAGAAUAGAGAUGGCUGGAAGAGGUAGAGACGAUGCUGCGAUUGCUGAGCUCUGGGUAUGCUAGCUGGAGUACUUGGGGAAAUCCGAAUGUUGUGGGAAUGGGACUGCUCGUCAACUGAGUGAGUUCCAGAAGAACAAUCCUCCAAUAUUCAAGAGGCAUACGAUCCAGAUGGUGCUCAGAAGUGGUUGAAGGAGAUCGAGAGAAUCUUCCGAGUGACGAGUGUGCCAUAACCAGAAGGUCAGGUUUGGUACGCUUAUGCUGUCAGAAGAAGCAGAUGAUUGGUGGGUUGCUACCCGCACUGAGUUGAAUCUGCUGGAAUGCUGAGAUCACUUGGGCUGUGUUCAGAGAGAGAUCCUGAGGAAGUACUUUCCAGAGGAUGUCAGAGAAAGAAAGAGAUAGAGUUCUUAGAAUUGAAGCAGGACAAUCGUCUGUUACUGAGUUACUUGCUAAGUUCACAGAGCUGUCAAAGUAUACACUCCCUAUAACGAGGCUACUGGGGAAUUUUCAAAGGUGUGUGAAGUUAGAACGGGUUGCGUCCCGAGAUCAAGCAGGCUAUUGGGUAUCAGCGAUUAGAGUGUUUUCUGAUUUGGUUGACUGUUGCAGGAUUUUGAACAGGAUACCAAAGCCAGAGCGGAGAGCUAUCAGCAGAGGUUGAUAGAGAAGGCAAGAAUCAUAAUGAUCGUGGGAAACCGUAUGCAGCUGGCAGGGGUUUCCAGAGGCAGAGUGGGAUGAAGAGGCCUAGUGGGGAGACUCCAGUGCCCCUGCUAAGGUUGACAGAUGUGGUCAGGCGGACAUCGUAUCCAUGAGUGUACCAGUAAUGAGAAGAAGUGUUUAAGUGUGGAAAGGUGGUCACUUGGCUGCAGAGUGCCGGUUGAAGACUGUGACUUGUUUCAACUGUGGAGAGGUGGGUCAUAUCAGUCCACAGUGUCCUAAGCCGAAGAAAUAGAACCAGUCGGGAGCAAGGUCUUUGCUUUAUCGGGCUCUGAGACUUUUGCAGAUGAUCGUUUGAUCCGAGGUACGUGUUAUAUUAAUGGCUUUCCUCUUGUAGCUAUUAUUGAACAGGUGCGACUCAUUCCUUUAUAUCUUUGGAUUGUGCUGUGAAACUUAAGUUAGAAGAAAUCUGAGAUGCAUGGAAGUAUGGUGAUUGAUACUCCUGCGAAGGGUUCAGUGACUACUACUUCAGUUUGUUUAAAUUGCCCUUUGAGUAUUUUUGGUAGAGACUUUGGAAUGGACCUAGUGUGUCUCCACUAGUGCAGAUUGAUGUUAUUCUGGGUAUGAACUGGUUGGUGUGUAACCGAGUUAUAUCAACUGUUUUGAUAAGACUGUGAUCUUUCCUGAGAUUGAGUAAGGAAAGGAUUUGUUUCUAAUCAGCGAGGCAGGUGAAUGAUAGGCAGUAGCAGAUGGGGCAGAGUGUUUAUGCUUAGCAACUUUGGAGGCUAAAGAUAAACUGGUGAUUGCGAUCUAGCUGUGGUGUUGAUUUCCUGAUGUGUUCCCGGAAGAAGUGAAUGAAUUACCGCCAGAGCGUGAAGUUGAGUUCUCGAUUGUAUUGGUACCUGGUACUAGGCCGAUAUCGAUGGCUCCGUACCGUAUGUCGUUGUUGAGUUAACUGAAUUGAAAAGUCAGCUGGAAGAUCUGUUGGAUAAGAAAUUUAUUUGCCCAGUGUGUCACCGUGGGUGCACCAGUGUUAUGGUUAAAAGAAAGAAGGUACUAUUGGUGUUGUGUGGACUACAGGCAACUGAAUAAAGUGACGAUCAAGAAUCGUAUCCUUUGCCGGGAUUGAUGAUUUGAUGACCAGUUAUUGGUGCGAGGUGUUCAGCAAAAUAAUUGAGGUCGGGAUAUCAUCAGAUACGUGUGAAAACUGAGGAUAUUCAGAAGACUGCUUUCAGAACAAGGUAUGGACAUUAUGAGUAUUCUGUAAUGCCUUUUGUGUGACUAAUGCGCUUGGAGUGUUUAUGGAGUAUAUGAAUAGGAUUUUCCAUCCGUACCUAGAUCAGUUUUUGUGGUUUAUUGACGAUAUUUUGGUGUAUUCAAAUCUGAAGAAGAGCAUGCUGAACAUUUGAGAGUGGUUUUAGGAGUUCUACGAGAAAAGAAGCUAUUUGCUAAACUGUCAAAGUGUGAAUUUUGGUUGGAAGAGGUUUUUUCUUGUCAUGUGAUUUCAAGAGAUGGUGUUGUUGUUGAUCCUUCUAAGAUAGAAGCGUAUCUAAGUGGGAAGCACCGAAGUCAGUUUCCGAGAUAAGGAGUUUUCUUGACUUGCAGGAUAUAUAGGAAGUUCAUUGAGGGAUUUUCUAAGUUGGCGUUACCGUUGACGAUGUUGACUAGAAAGGGGCAAACGUUUGUUUGGGACUCAAAAUGUGAAGAAGGUUUCCAAGAGUUAAAGAGAAGGUUGACUACUGCUCCUAUUCUGAUAUUACCGAGUUCGUCGGAAUCAUUUGAGGUUUUUCGUGAUGCUUCAUUGUUGGGUUUGGGUGGUGUGUUGAUGCAGAAUAAGCAGGUUAUAGCUUAUGCUUCGAGACAGCUGAGGGUUCAUGAGAGGAACUAUCCGACACACGAUUUAGAGUUGGUAGCUGUGGUAUUUGUUCUGAAGUUAUGGAGGCAUUACUUGUAUGGGUCAAGAUUUGAGGUUCAGUGACCCAUAAAAGUUUAAAGUAUUUGUUUGAUCAGAAAGAGCUGAAUAUGAGACACUAGGAGAUGGUUAGAGUUUCUGAAGGAUUAUGACUUUGGUUUGAAUUACCAUCCGGGUAAAGCAAACGUAGUGGCUGAUGCAUUGAGUCGGAAAUCAUUGCAUAGUUCUAUGUUAAUGGUUAAGGAAUUGGAUUUAAGACAGUUUAGAGACUUGAGUUUGGUGUGUGAGAGUACUCGCAAUAGUGUUAAAUUGGGAAUGUUGAAGUUAACAAGUGGUAUUCUGGAUGAGAUUAGAGAGGGUCAGAAAUCCGAUGUGCUUUUGUUGAUAAGUUGACUCUAGUGAAUCAAGUCAAGGUGAAUUCAGAGUUGAUGAGAAUGGUGUUUUGAAAUUUGGUAAUCGGGUGUGUAUUCCGGAUGUUACCGAGCUUAAGAAGAGUAUUCUUGAGGAAAGGACAUCGUAGUGACCUGAGUAUUCAUCCUGGAGCUACGAAGAUGUAUCAUGAUUUGAAAAAGUUAUUUGGUGGCCGGAAUGAAAAGAGAAAUUGCGAGUUUGUUUAUUCUUGUUGACUUGUCAGAAGUCAAAGAUUGAGCAUCAGAAGCCGUCUGGGCUAAUGCAACCGUUGGCUUAUUCCAGAGUGGAAGUGGGAUAGUAUCAGUAUGGAUUUUGUUUCUGGUUUGCCGAGGACAAAUAAGAAUUUUGAAGCCAUUUGGUGAUUGUUGACAGAUUGACAAAAUCGGCUCAUUUCAUUCCGAUCAGAAUGGAUUAUCCGUUAGAGAGAUAGCUAUUGUAUAUUGAGAAGGUUGUAAGUUUGCAUGGUAUUCCGUCGAGUAUUGUUUCAAGACAGAGAUCCUAAAUUUACAUCGAAGUUCUGGGAAGUUUGCAGAGGGCUUUGGGAACUAAGCUGAGAUUGAGUUCUGCAUUAUCAUCCGCAGACUGAUGGUCAGACUGAGAGGACGAUUCAGCAUUAGAGGAUCUUUUGAGAGCUUGUGUUUUGGAAAAGGGAGUGCUUGGAGGACAUAUGUAACACCCCGAUAAAAAUAAGAUAAUUAUUUAAUUAAGUUAUAUUAUAAUUAUUAAUUUAAUUAAAUAAUUGGAAUUAUUGGAAUAUUAUAUUAUAUUAUUGGAAUAAUAAUUAUUGGAAAAUAUAUAUAAGUUGGAAAUAAGGAAAAAGAGUUCCAUUUUGGUAAAAAGAGUCUUCACGUGAAAAGCAGAGAAGCGGCUGAAAAGAGGAAAAGGGCAAAGAGACAGAGCAAGAGGAAGAGGUUGGAGAAGAAAAAGCUUGAAGCUUAAAGAUUCGCCGAUUAACUCAGGUAAGGGGUUUAUCGUCGUUUAAUGGGUAUUAUGGGUUAACACUGUUGUGAGUUGUGAAAAUAUGGCAUGUUCUGUCUGCGUUAACCGUAUAACCCAGGGCGUUAACCGUUAACACUGUUGAGUUUUGCCGCAAAGCGUGUUCUGUCCUGCGUUAACCGUUAACCCAGACGUUAACCGGUUAACACUGUUGAAAAGUGGAAAAAUUAAUAUUUAAAAUGUUGUGUACAUGUUUGAUGUUGACCAUAUCGGUGUAUGAUAUAGUAGGAUCAAUUCCCGUUGUUUUGAGCAGUAUAGGUAUUAGUAGAGUGUGUUAAUACUGUGAUUGAAUUAUUUGGCAUUACAUAAUAUGAUUAUGUGAUAAAUAUGCUGAUGAUGUGUGGAAAAUAUGCAUAAUGUUGUGAAUGUAUAUAUUAUGUAUGUAAUUGUGAAUGGACUGUUUAUGGCUUAGAGUGUGAGCAUAUGUCCAUUGUGGAUUAUUGUUGAUGAUUCUGCAUUGCUAGGUGAUUUAGCAUGCAUAUUGUGGCCUUUAUGGUGGUAGCUAAUUCCCAUGGUGAGGAAUUAGUGAGUUAGUCAUUAUGGACUGUUGUUGAUGUUUGCAUGCUAGGUGAAUUAGCGUGCAUAGCAUGGCCCUUGGGGUGGUAGCUAAUUCCCGUGGUGAGGAAUUAGUGAGUGAGUCACUAGGUCUCAAAUGAGUGGGACUAGUGGCUUGGUACCGUAUCUGGAUUUGAUCGUGAGGUGAACUAUAUGUUCACGAAUAGUCGGUACGCAUGCAUGGAGUCUCAUUGCGCAUAAUGUAUGUAUGACGUAUAAUAUGAAUGGAUGUAUUCCAAUAUUAUGCGUGUGUUUGUGUUGGCAUUGAGUAUGAGUAUGAAUUGUGUUGGUAUUGAGUAUGAUAUUUGAGUUGAUGUCCGUUACUGAAUGUGUGAUAUGAUUAGGGUGAUUAAUGUGUUAUUACUUAGCAUUACACGAUAUUUUAUAAUGCUUAUUAUAUCGAUUGAGGAACUCACCCUUACAACUAUUUUCAGGUAACGAGCAGUGAUUGAGUAGAAGCUAGUGCUUGGAGUCUAGUGUAGUCUCCUUAGUGGGUCAUCUCUGAUAGAUGUAACAUCGGGACGGGAUUUUACCUUGUUGGAAAAUUUACAUGUAAUGUGUUACAUGUUUUGCAUGAUUAUUUGAUUCUAUCCGCUGCGUAUUGUGCAAAUGCUUUAUGUUUUGAAUUAAUAAAAGAGCAUGACAGUAUUUGGUGAAUGCCUGUGACAUAGUUGCUUACACCCUUAAUUGCAUAAUUACUCUGAUUGAUAUAUUGCUAUUUUAAUUAAAUAUCUGGGGUAUUUUAGAAGGGUGUUACAACAUAUGGGCACCCCCUCUAGGGAGGAUCGAUUGCGAUCCUCCCACUCUUAAUAUGACAUUUAUAAAUAUAUCUUUACACAAUCCCUCAAGCAUAAAAGCUUUGAUAAAGGGAAAAAUGCUUUAAACGACAGAGCGUUGGAUUGUCCGUAUGAGAGAAUACACAUUCUUUAGUCGAGAUGUCCAUGCUUCAUAGUUCACAAGUCUAUGAAGGAUAUCUACUCUAUUUAUUUUGUAAUGUUGCUCACAAGAUUAUGGAGAAAGUAUUAGCUAUAAACAACUUUAACAAAUAGUUCGUUAAUGUGGUUAUAUCGAGCAAUUUGAAUUUGUAGCAGACAUGAAUAUUUUACACAAUGUGAGAAUAACAUACAAAUACUAUAUAAGAUGUAUAAAAUUGAUUGAAGUUAACUUUCCGCCUCAUUGGAUUGCUUUUGUUUCAAUAGUCAAUGGGAAAGUUGGAUAAAUCAUUGCACUACAAGGUUUAACUAGGUUGUUACUAUGAAUGAGUAUCAUGUUAAACUUAUUUUUCAUGGUCUAAAAGAGCAAUCCAUUCUUUUAACGAUAUGAAAUGAGUUGAUUUGAAUUAGACUUAGUUUUUUUACUUGAUAAAGAUAAUCUAAACUAAAAUUUCAACUCAAAGUCGUCACAAGCCUUUUUUUCCCAGCUUAAAAUAGUUUUUUUUAAACUCGUCUCGAUUUAGUUCAACAGUUUAAAUCAAUUCACCUCUAUUUGUUGAACACGCGCUUGAGCGACCGCUCCUUCAGCAAGCGUCUUGAGAUCAUCACUCGUUACCUUUCAUCUGAUUUAGCGCCACCCCCGUUUUCUCGGGUACGCUUGUUCAGGUUAAGCACCACGAACUGCAUUCUCCUUAGGAUAUUCGAAUGUUUCUCCCUUAACACUUUCUCCACCUAGAAACAUCUCACUCCCUAGGAUAUCCGAACGUUUCUCCCUUAACACUUUCUCCAUCUAGAAACAUCUCAAGAAUUGUAUAAGUUCCAAAAUAUGGUAAAAUGACACAUUGAAUGAGAACACUUAUUAACUUGUUUCGCAAGUUUCUCGUAUUAAAACUCUAAGAAUUGUGCAAAUACUAGUUUAGAAGGCUAAUAAUUAGUUUCACACUGUGCACCUAAUUUCAAUGUAUUUUGUAGGUGUUUUUGUCAAAAGAGGAUAUUAGUUCAAGUAAAAUAAGGAAAAAAAUUUCAGCAACCUUGUCUAGCGAGCUCAAGCCAAGGCAAAAACAAGCCUAAAAAACGAGACCUAAUUAGCUCCAGGCGAGUGAAGUCAGAAUGUCCAAGGCUUCCCCGAUUCGUUAAUGCCCGACAAAUCUUAAGAGCAACUGUUUUGAGUUUGGUCGAAGAUCCAAAUUGAUAUCAAUGUAUUUUUAAAAAUUAUUUAAUAAAUUAAUAUAUAUUUUUAAGUUAUAGACAUACCCCACAAAAUUAUAUUGCAGCCUCAUUUGUCACAACAUAUUAUAUCAUAUUUAUAUAUCUAUAUCUUUAUUUCUAAAUUGUAAUUUAUUUGCUUAUAAUCUCUUAGAAGAGAGUCCUUAAAAUUAAUACAAUUCUUAUAGAAUUGAUAUUUUAAUUUAAACACUUGCUAUUAGUCUAAUUGUGUAUAUUUCUCUACAAAAUAGUCAACAAGAUUUUUAGUUUGAUUGGAUGGCAUAAUUAAGAGUAUUUAUAUCACAAUAUAUCUCUAUUUUACAAUAUUCAAUAGGUAAAUUGUUGAGAGAGAAAUACAGCAUCCACCAAAAACACAAAAUAGCACAUAGGAGCGUUGAUCCGCACAAGCGAAACAAAACAAAAUCGUACCGUUAGAAUUUAGUUAUCGACGCUCAAUAUUAUUUUUCCCAUAACGCGCGGAUCGGUAAUUUAGACCAUCGAUUAAAUUGAAUCCAACGACGAAUAUCAAAACACAAAAUUCAUUUUCAUCCUCUGCUCUUCCUCCCGCUCGCUCCGAUACAUAUAUUCCGAUCCCCAUCGGUAUUUCUCACUUCAAUUCAAAUCCGAAUCUAAAUCCCAAUUUCUCGAUUUCCUUUUGCUUCUCAAAUUUUCUAGCGAAAAUGUCAGGCCGUGGAAAGGGUGGUAAGGGACUCGGAAAGGGAGGUGCAAAGAGGCACAGGAAGGUUCUCCGUGAUAACAUCCAAGGUAUCACAAAGCCAGCUAUUCGUAGAUUGGCGAGAAGAGGUGGUGUGAAGAGGAUCAGUGGUUUGAUCUACGAGGAAACCAGAGGAGUUCUCAAGAUCUUUUUGGAAAACGUGAUCCGUGAUGCUGUUACAUACACCGAGCAUGCCAGGAGGAAGACUGUCACCGCCAUGGAUGUUGUUUAUGCUCUCAAGAGACAAGGAAGAACCUUGUACGGAUUCGGAGGUUGAUGAAGAAGCAAUCCUUUGUUUAUUUUUUUAGCUUUAGGUUAAUUAGCUGGAGUGUGUGAUGUUAAUUCUCGAUGCUUGUGAAGAUGUUUUAGGUUAAUUGAGACGUGUAAAUGCUCAAUGAAAUCAAUACUUAAAUCACAUGGAUUGAAAUUGAAAUAUACCGAAAACGAGCGUUUUUUUGUUAUCUGUGAUUAUAGUUUUAUUCUUUCUUUAAAUUUCUUUAUUUACAGGAAAUUAUUGUUUUUAGAUCUAUUGCUUGUUAUCGAUAGAUGAAUGUUAGAGGUGGAUGCCAGAAUUCAUUUUCAUGUCAAACUAUUCUUACAAUUAAGACAGGGUGUGUUAUACGAUUAAGAUUAAUGACGUAUUUGAUUCUUGCUGCGGCUAACUAUUAUUGGUUCAAUUCCGACUUUCUUCAAAC
rnacentral:lncRNA from 1 species